UAGAAUAAUGUAGAUAAGGGAAGUCGGCAAAUUAGAUCCCUACCUUCGGAAUAAGGAUUGGCUCUAAGGACCGGUCUGAACGGGCUUUGCAAUGAAGCUUGGUUGAUGGCGCUUUGAUUGGGUUGGCUCUCGGGUCGGCUUGAUCUAAUGGCGUCGUUGCCUUGUGGACUUGCCUUGCUGCGUGCUGGCGUUUCGGCGUCUGUACUUCGUUCGACACUUAACGGUUGACUUAGAACUGGUACGGACUCGGGGAAUCCGACUGUCUAAUUAAAACAGAGGAGAUAGAUGGUCCUUGCGGACGUUGACUAUCUCUGAUUUCUGCCCAGUGCUCUGAAUGUUAACGUGGAGUAAUCUGCAUAAGCGCGGGUAAACGGCGGGAGUAACAAUGACUCUCUUAAGGUAGCCAAGUGCCUCGUCAUCUAAUUAGUGACGCGCAUGAAUGGAUCGGUGAGAUUCGACUACGCCGUGAUCUAAAUGGCCAAUCUUUUUUGCCCGUGAUACUCAAUGGCGUAUGUAGUCAAUCUUGCACUGAGUCUAACCGUCACGGGGUGAUCCAUGUAAGUAUCGUGCUAAGCAUGAGAAACUGAGACUCAAUGCAUAUAGGGGUGUAUGUAGGUUCUCUACGUAUGCGGAGGAUUUCAUCUCCACUGCCUUCUGACCGGUUCUCAAUGGUGGCCCGUGGUUGGCUCUGGUCUAUCUCGGGUUGUCACGGUUAACUGGAGCCUGUGUGGGCACAUUCCCUAGUGCCACCUUGGUUUACUGGGCAUAUACCAUCACUCCCGAGUCGCAACGUAAUCUUAACGGUCUUAAUGACUAUGGUACGGACUUGGAGCUAGGGUUGCAGUGCUGGUCACUCCUCCCGUCUGGUAUAUCUUGAACCUUUCAGUGGCAUAUGCUAUCUGCCAAUACUGAAGGGAAACUAUGGCUUCGUAAGUUAUCCGAAGCCAUGGUAUCAGUACACUUCGUAUAGUGGCAAUGCAGGUUAACGGGGAGUUACAUUUCGCGGUGUAUCUCCAUACGUCUUUAUUUUGGUUCCUUUGGGAACUCAGUCGUAGCGCGAGCGUCUCGGUACGUUCCCGCUAUCAGAUCUCAAGUGCAGCUCCAUAGCCCGUACGUGCCCCCCGGACACAUACGGUACCUGCCAAUCUUCCUCAGGUGUGUGGGGAAGUUCAUAGCCCUCGUUUGUUUAGGAGGUAGCGAGCGUCGCCUCGCUUUUCCCUAUCCCUGCGUGCCUAUAUUACGUUUUUCACAAAACUUGACAAAUAAAUUGUACGCGCGUAUGGGGAAAUUGACGAUUAUCAGAAAAGGCGCCCGACCACACCAAAUGCUUAUAAAUACGUUCAAAUAGAUUUCUCUGGCUCCAAAAUGGAAUUUAAUACUUCCUAACAGUUGUUUUUAGCCGGCUACAAUGAAAAACAUUGAAAAGUAUUGACUAAAGGCAUAUAAAUCUAACCUAAACGAUUUGAGUACGCGGAAUUUUGGUUAUGUCCGGAUUAAUUUAAAAAAUGUAGUAGCAUGGCAAACGACAGUCCGUUACGUAUCCGUGAAAUUUGUGAUUGAUCAUUCUAUCGCUACCAGAGGCAUGACGUGCCGGUCACGUCCUCUGUCUUAGAUAGUCGCGAGUAUCCGUGCCUUGGUACGGGCAGUUUAAUCUGCGAGCUAGUGGUUACCUUCCCUAGCGGAACCUCUGGAAAGAUCUGAGAGAGCUUCCAUACUCAACCAUGCACGGGAAGGGACAGUGAAAUGGUGACGCGCAUGAAUGGAUUAACGAGAUUCCCACUGUCCCUAUCUACUAUCUAGCGAAACCACAGCCAAGGGAACGGGCUUGG
rnacentral:ncRNA from 1 species